UACGAAGGGGGCUAGCGUUGUUCGGAGUUACUGGGCGUAAAGGGCGCGUAGGCGGCGCACCAAGUCAGGCGUGAAAGCCCUGGGCUCAACCCGGGAAUUGCGCUUGAGACUGGUGUGCUUGAGUACGGUAGAGGAGGGUGGAAUUCCCAGUGUAGCGGUGAAAUGCGUAGAUAUCGAGAGGAACACCUGCGGCGAAGGCGGGUUGCUGGGCCGACACUGACGCUGAUGCGCGAAAGCCAGGGGAGCGAACGGG
rnacentral:rRNA from 1 species